UUUGAACGCUGGCGGCAGGCCUAACACAUGCAAGUCGAGCGGGGUUUUCGGACCUAGCGGCGGACGGGUGAGUAAUGCGUAGGAAGCUGCCCGAUAGAGGGGGAUACCAGUUGGAAACGACUGUUAAUACCGCAUAAUGUCUACGGACCAAAGUGUGGGACCUUCGGGCCACAUGCUAUCGGAUGCGCCUACGUGGGAUUAGCUAGUUGGUGAGGUAAUGGCUCACCAAGGCGACGAUCUCUAGCUGGUUUGAGAGGAUGAUCAGCCACACUGGAACUGAGACACGGUCCAGACUCCUACGGGAGGCAGCAGUGGGGAAUAUUGGACAAUGGGCGCAAGCCUGAUCCAGCCAUGCCGCGUGUGUGAAGAAGGCCCUCGGGUUGUAAAGCACUUUCAGCGAGGAGGAAGGGGUGUGUGUUAAUAGUACACACCUUUGACGUUACUCGCAGAAGAAGCACCGGCUAACUCUGUGCCAGCCGCCGCCGUAAGAC
rnacentral:rRNA from 1 species